UACGGAAGGGGCUAGCGUUGUUCGGAAUUACUGGGCGUAAAGCGCACGUAGGCGGACUGUCAAGUCAGGGGUGAAAUCCCGGGGCUCAACCUCGGAACUGCCUCUGAUACUGUCAGUCUAGAGUCCGGAAGAGGUGGGUGGAAUUCCUAGUGUAGAGGUGAAAUUCGCAGAUAUUAGGAAGAACACCGGUGGCGAAGGCGGCCCACUGGUCCGGAACUGACGCUGAGGUGCGAAAGCGUGGGGAGCAAACAGG
rnacentral:rRNA from 1 species